rnacentral:misc_RNA from 1 species
GCAUCGAGGUAGCCAUCU